rnacentral:tRNA from 4 species
GCCGGGGUGGCGGAACUGGUAGACGCGCCGGACUCAAAAUCCGGUUCUCGCAAGAGAGUGCGGGUUCGAUUCCCGCCCCCGGCACCA